rnacentral:lncRNA from 1 species
CAAACACCACAAUGAUUUUCCCUCUCGCGUUUCCUCAUUAUCAAAACCAAACAACAAUUUCAAUCAGACCCAAAUAGUGAAACAACACGUUUCAAACAAAUCAAGAAUAAAAAUCAGAUCUUUUUAGAAUUUAACAAAAACCCAGAACAAAAAAAACGGUUUAAGAAUUGGGUAGAUGAAAAGAUUCAAUUUUUAGAAGAUUAAAGAAAAGGGUUUUGUUUUGUUGUGUUGGGUUUGCUUUGUGGUGCAAAGAUUCAUAGCUGGUGCACCAAACAUAUUUAACAAGAGAUAAGAACACAAACCCAAAAUCUGAUUCAAAGAAAAGCAGAACAGAAAAGGGAGAAAACACAAAAAUUCAAAACCCUAAAUCAUCAUCAUAAUAUAAUUAACAACAAAUUAAAAAUAGAACAACACAAAAAUUGGAAAAAUCAUUGCAAAGAAGAAAGUUUCAAUAGAGAGAGAAGGAAAAACCUUAUCAAAAGAGAUCGAAAGAGGUUGGGUCUUCUUUCAAGAAGUUGUUAACAUCCAAUCGGAGAAGUUGAGUGAGUAGAAGAGUGAGUUCCAUUGCUUAGAAAUAAGGGUUGUGGAGGAGACAGAAAGGUUGGAAAAGGCAACAGAAGAAAAGAGGUGAAACGGCAACGGCUAAGCGUAAAGGAAUGAGAACGGUUUUUGAAAACAAAAUUUUUCAAAGAGUUUGUUGCAUUUUGUGAAAGUGUUGUGGUUUGUG